rnacentral:tRNA from 3 species
GCCCGGGUGUUGAAAUUGGUAGACAUUUAUCCUUGAGGUGGAUAAGCCCGCAAGGGCGUGGAGGUUCGAGUCCUCUCCCGGGCACCA